AGCGAACGCUGGCGGCAGGCCUAAUACAUGCAAGUCGAACGGAUCCUUCGGGAUUAGUGGCGGACGGGUGAGUAACACGUGGGAACGUGCCUUUAGGUUCGGGACAACCCAGGGAAACUUGGGCUAAUACCGAAUAAGCCCUUCGGGGAAGAUUUAUCGCCUUUAGAGCGGCCCGCGUCUGAUUAGCUUGUUGGUGGGGUAAUGGCCUACCAAGGCUACGAUCAGUAGCUGGUCUGAGAGGAUGAUCAGCCACACUGGGACUGAGACACCGGCCCAGACUCCUACGGGAGGCAGCAGUAGGGAAUCUUGCGCAAUGGGCGAAAGCCUGACGCAGCCAUGCCGCGUGAUGAUGAAGGUCUUAGGAUU
rnacentral:rRNA from 1 species